AUCUUCAGGUGUGUUGUUCUCAGGUGUGAUCUUCAUGUGUGUUCUUCAGGUGUGUUGUUCUCAGGUGUGAUUUUCAGGUGUGAUCAUCAGGUGUGUUGUUC